rnacentral:misc_RNA from 1 species
AACGCACAUUGCGCCCUGUGGUAUUCCGCAGGGCAUGCCUGUUCGAGCGUCAUUAUAGCCACUCAAGCUUCGCUUGGUAUUGGGGUUCGCAGUUCUGCGGCCUCUAAAAUCAGUGGCAGUGCCUGUAGGCUCUGAGUGUAGUAAUUCUCCUCGCUAUAGAGUCCUAUGGGUUCCUUGCUAAAACCCCCAUACUUUUAUAGGUUGACCUCGGAUCAGGUAGGGAUACCCGCUGAACUUAA